UUUUUGUCAGGAUGAACGCUAGCGGGAGGCCUAACACAUGCAAGCCGAGCGGUAUAGAUCUUUCGGGAUCUAGAGAGCGGCGUACGGGUGCGGAACACGUGUGCAACCUGCCUUUAUCUGGGGGAUAGCCUUUCGAAAGGGAGAUUAAUACCCCAUAAUAUAUCAGAUGGCAUCAUUUGAUAUUGAAAACUCCGGUGGAUAGAGAUGGGCACGCGCAAGAUUAGAUAGUUGGUGAGGUAACGGCUCACCAAGUCUACGAUCUUUAGGGGGCCUGAGAGGGUGAUCCCCCACACUGGUACUGAGACACGGACCAGACUCCUACGGGAGGCAGCAGUGAGGAAUAUUGGACAAUGGGUGAGAGCCUGAUCCAGCCAUCCCGCGUGAAGGACGACGGCCCUAUGGGUUGUAAACUUCUUUUGUAUAGGGAUAAACCUACCCUCGUGAGGGUAGCUGAAGGUACUAUACGAAUAAGCACCGGCUAACUCCGUGCCAGCAGCCGCGGUAAUACGGAGGGUGCAAGCGUUAUCCGGAUUUAUUGGGUUUAAAGGGUCCGUAGGCGGAUGUGUAAGUCAGUGGUGAAAUCUCACAGCUUAACUGUGAAACUGCCAUUGAUACUGCAUGUCUUGAGUGUUGUUGAAGUAGCUGGAAUAAGUAGUGUAGCGGUGAAAUGCAUAGAUAUUACUUAGAACACCAAUUGCGAAGGCAGGUUACUAAGCAACAACUGACGCUGAUGGACGAAAGCGUGGGGAGCGAACAGGAUUAAU
rnacentral:rRNA from 1 species